rnacentral:rRNA from 1 species
ACACUCCUGCGGGAGGCAGCAGUGGGGAAUUUUGGACAAUGGGCGAAAGCCUGCUCCAGCAAUGCCGCGUGCAGGAUGAAGGCCUUCGGGUUGUAAACUGCUUUUGUACGGAACGAAAAAGCUCCUUCUAAUACAGGGGGCCCAUGACGGUACCGUAAGAAUAAGCACCGGCUAACUACGUGCCAGCAGCCGCGGUAAUACGUAGGGUGCGAGCGUUAAUCGGACUUACUGGGCGUAAAGCGUGCGCAGGCGGUUAUGUAAGACAGAUGUGAAAUCCCCGGGCUCAACCUGGGAACUGCAUUUGUGACUGCAUGGCUAGAGUACGGUAGAGGGGGAUGGAAUUCCGCGUGUAGCAGUGAAAUGCGUAGAUAUGCGGAGGAACACCGAUGGCGAAGGCAAUCCCCUGGACCUGUACUGACGCUCAUGCACGAAAGCGUGGGGAGCAAACAGGAUUAGAUACCCCGGUAGUCC